rnacentral:rRNA from 1 species
GACCCAGACUCCUACGGGAGGCAGCAGUGGGGAAUAUUGCACAAUGGGGGAAACCCUGAUGCAGCGACGCCGCGUGAGUGAAGAAGUAUUUCGGUAUGUAAAGCUCUAUCAGCAGGGAAGAAAAUGACGGUACCUGACUAAGAAGCCCCGGCUAACUACGUGCCAGCAGCCGCGGUAAUACGUAGGGGGCAAGCGUUAUCCGGAUUUACUGGGUGUAAAGGGAGCGUAGACGGCAUGGCAAGUCAGAUGUGAAAGCCCGGGGCUCAACCCCGGGACUGCAUUUGAAACUGUCAGGCUGGAGUGCAGGAGAGGUAAGUGGAAUUCCUAGUGUAGCGGUGAAAUGCGUAGAUAUUAGGAGGAACACCAGUGGCGAAGGCGGCCUGCUGGACGACAACUGACGGUGAGGCGCGAAAGCGUGGGGAGCAAACAGGAUUAGAUACCCGAGUA